rnacentral:rRNA from 1 species
UAGGGAAUCUUCGGCAAUGGGGGGAACCCUGACCGAGCAACGCCGCGUGAGUGAAGAAGGUUUUCGGAUCGUAAAGCUCUGUUGUUAAGGAAGAACGAGUGUGAGAAUGGAAAGUUCAUGCUGUGACGGUACUUAACCAGAAAGGGACGGCUAACUACGUGCCAGCAGCCGCGGUAAUACGUAGGUCCCGAGCGUUGUCCGGAUUUAUUGGGCGUAAAGCGAGCGCAGGCGGUUAGAAAAGUCUGAAGUGAAAGGCAGUGGCACAACCAUAGUAGGCUUUGGAAACUGUUUAACUUAAUUGCAGAAAGGGAGAGUGGAAUUCCAUGGGUGGCGGUGAAAUGCGUAGAUAUAUGGAGGAACACCGGUGGCGAAAGCGGCUCUGAGGUCGGUAACUGACGCGGAGGCUGGAAAGCGGGGGAAGCGAAAAGG